AACGCACGCAACGAGGGAGGGAGGGAGGAACUCGGACGCCCAAAAAAUCCCCCCACCCCCAGCGCGGCAAUGCCGUCAUGUGCCCGCAUCUCCUCCGCCGUCUCCACCGCCGCCGCAUCCUCCUCCUCGCCGCCGCCGCAUCCUCCUCGCUGCCGCCGCCUCGCCGCCGCCACGGCGCGCGUGCGGGAGGGGACGCUCCGCCCUGAGGAAGCACACGACCUGCUCGACGAGUUGCAGCGUCGAGGCACGCCCGUUCUCGAGCGCGAUCUGAACGGCUUCCUCGCGGCGCUCGCGCGUGCGCCGUCCUCCGCCGCCUGCAGGAGUGGCCCUGCCCUCGCCGUCGCGCUCUUCAACCGCGCGGCGUCUCGGGCUCAAGGACCGCGGGUGCUGUCCCCCACAUCCUACACCUACGCCAUCCUCAUGGACUGCUGCACCCGCGCGCACCGCCCAGAGCUAGCGCUGGCCUUCUUCGGCCAGCUCCUCAGGACAGGCUUGCGCGUCGAUAUCAUCAUCGCUAACCACCUUCUCAAGGGCUUUUGUGAAGCGAAGCGGACAGACGAGGCUUUGGACAUCCUUCUCCACAGAACGCCUGAGUUGGGCUGUGUGCCCGAUGUUUCCUCGUACAACAUACUUCUGAAGAGCCUCUGCAACCAAGGAAAGAGUGGCCAGGCAGAUGAUUUGCUACGGAUGAUGGCUGAAGGGGGAGCUGUCUGCUCGCCCGACGUGGUUGCCUACACUACAGUAAUCGACGGCUUCUUUAAGGAGGGUGACGUAAAUAAAGCAUGUGAUCUAUUCAAAGAAAUGGUACAGCGGGGCAUUCCACCUGAUUUUGUGACUUAUAGCUCUGUGGUUCAUGCCCUGUGUAAGGCAAGAGCAAUGGACAAGGCAGAGGCUUUCCUUCGACAAAUGGUCAAUAAAGGUGUUCUGCCAAAUAACUGGACAUAUAAUAACUUGAUAUAUGGAUACUCCUCCACAGGACAGUGGAAGGAGGCAGUUAGGGUAUUUAAAGAAAUGAGAAGACACAACAUCUUACUAGAUGUUGUUAAUUUGAACACGUUGAUGGGUUCCCUUUGCAAGUAUGGAAAAAUCAAGGAAGCUAGAGAUGUUUUUGACACAAUGGCAAUGAAGGGCCAAAAUCCUAAUGUUUUCUCCUACACCAUUAUGCUCAACGGGUACGCUACUAAAGGAUGUCUAGUUGAUAUGACAGAUCUCUUCGAUUUGAUGCUAGGUGACGGUAUUGCACCUGACAUUUAUACUUUUAAUGUGCUGAUCAAGGCAUAUGCAAACUGUGGAAUGCUAGAUAAGGCUAUGAUCAUCUUCAAUGAAAUGAGAGACCAUGGAGUGAAACCUAAUGUGGUAACCUAUAGGACAGUGAUUGCUGCCCUCUGCAGAAUCGGUAAGAUGGAUGAUGCUAUGGAAAAAUUUAAUCAGAUGAUUGAUCAAGGAGUAGCACCUGAUAAAUAUGCAUACAAUUGCCUGAUUCAAGGUUUUUGUACUCAUGGUAGUUUACUGAAAGCCAAGGAAUUGAUUUCGGAAAUAAUGAAUAAUGGCAUGCAUCUUGACAUUGUUUUCUUCAGUUCGAUAAUUAACAACCUUUGCAAACUGGGAAGGGUAAUGGACGCACAAAAUAUAUUUGACUUAACUGUAAAUGUUGGUCUGCAUCCUGAUGAUGUGGUGUAUAGUAUGCUGAUGGAUGGGUACUGUCUUGUUGGCAAGAUGGAGAAAGCAUUAAGAGUAUUUGAUGCUAUGGUGUCAGCUGGCAUUGAACCAAACGUUGUAGUGUAUUGUACACUUGUUAAUGGCUAUUGUAAAAUUGGAAGGAUUGAUGAAGGAUUGAGUCUUUUCAGAGAAAUGCUGCAAAGGGGAAUAAAGCCUUCAACUAUUUUAUACAGCAUCAUAAUUGAUGGGUUAUUUCAGGCCGGGAGAACAGUUCCUGCAAAGGUGAAAUUCCAUGAAAUGACAGAAAGUGGUAUCGCUAUGGACAUAUGUACAUACAACAUAGUUCUUCGUGGACUUUUUAAAAAUAGAUGCUUUGAUGAAGCAAUCUUUCUUUUCAAAGAAUUACGUGCAAUGAAUGUAAAGAUCGAUAUCAUAACUCUCAAUACCAUGAUAGCUGGAAUGUUUCAAACCAGGAGAGUUGAAGAAGCUAAGGAUCUGUUUGCUUCUAUCUCGAGAAGUGGGCUGGUGCCUUGUGUUGUGACUUACAGUAUAAUGAUCACAAAUCUUAUAAAAGAAGGAUUGGUGGAAGAGGCAGAAGAUAUGUUUUCAUCCAUGCAGAAUGCUGGCUGUGAGCCAGAUUCUCGAUUGCUGAAUCAUGUAGUCAGGGAAUUACUAAAGAAAAAUGAAAUAGUCAGGGCUGGAGCUUACCUGUCCAAGAUUGACGAGAGGAAUUUCUCACUUGAACAUUUAACCACAAUGUUGCUGGUCGAUCUCUUCUCAAGCAAAGGAACUUGUAGGGAACACAUAAGAUUUCUCCCUGCAAAGUAUCAUUUUCUUGCAGAGGCCAGUCCGUGAUUGAUAUAUUGAUUUUUUUUUGGAAUCAGUCCUUGCACGCACCUGUCACAGUUAAACUAGUAUAUGAUCUUAACUAAAACCAUUGGUUUACUUCAUGUUCAUGUUUUCUCGGAAGAUUUUCUUCUCAUUUGACCUGCUUGAUAUGCAGAUGUUCAUUUACUUUUGAUCUAAUAUAUGCAGAGCGUUUUAUGUUUUUCGAAGCAUAUUCGUUCCGGUGCUGAUGUAGCUAUGUGCUCUCCGUGCACAACUGAUGUGCGAUUCUCUCUUGUAGCAUGUUUUAUCAUGUCUGUUAACACAGCCGAUGUUGCAUUUAUGAGGAAUGACGUUAUAACUGCUGAAUUGUGAUGAAGAAUAAUGUAGCAUGCUGAAUCCUGUUUUGGCCCCUGGCCGAGCCGCCCAGUUCGUCAUGACCAGCAGGGCAGUUUGGCCUAAUGCUGUGGCUUGUAAGGGCAAAGUGGAUACCCUGCUGCUGGGUAGUACUAGUAUAUUGCUGUUCAAACCUGCAAAUCAGCAGGUUUUUCUCAGGUGUUAAGUAUAUGUGGCGGCGAUGGUAGCCUUGAUCAGGGUUUCCAGCUCGUCGUUCCCGCGGAUCGCCAGCUGAAGAGAAGCAUAUGGUGGCCAUGGCUAUGCUAUUUAGGAACAGAAGGCAAAAACAGAGAGGGAAAUUGAACAAGGAAUAAACAAGAGAUUGUAUAGGAAGCUUGAUACGAAAUGGAAGCAGAGCAUUGUGGUCAGACCAGCACCAUCUCUAAGGGAGAACAAAGAGAAGGCAAGCAGAGCCUGUGCACGUAUUAGUUGGUUCAGUUGUGCGGUUGCUCUUUUUGGCUCUUAUCUUCGAAAUGCACAGUUGCUGCAUUAGUAGCAGCUAGUAGUAUCUGUGAUUCAGAAAUCUAAAAGUUGUGACUUGUGAGGCAGCCUGCUGCCUUGUUCAUGUAGAAUGAACCUUGUGUAGAUGAGUUGCAAGGUGUGAGUGUUCCAUAUAUUAUUGUAGGAUGAGUUAGAAUCCUGAAUGUCAAGUGCUUAUUACGUGGAUGCAAAAUGCAAAUAAAUAAAGUGAUGCAGAC